rnacentral:rRNA from 1 species
UACGUAGGGUGCGAGCGUUAAUCGGAAUUACUGGGCGUAAAGCGUGCGCAGGCGGUUUUGUAAGUCAGAUGUGAAAUCCCCGGGCUCAACCUGGGAACUGCGUUUGAAACUACAAGGCUAGAGUGUAGCAGAGGGGGGGUAGAAUUCCACGUGUAGCAGUGAAAUUCGUAGAUAUCGGGAGGAACACCAGUGGCGAAGGCGGCGACCUGGGCCAAUACUGACGCUGAGGUGCGAAAGCGUGGGGAGCAAACAGG